UUGCUGUCCCAGCACUGCACGCUGCUUUUGCACAUUUCUCCAUGUUCCCAGACAUUUACUCUUCCUUCAGCAUCUGCCACAUUGCGGUCGUGGAGUGCCAACACAGGAGUGGAGCACAUUGGAAAAGGAAAACAGCAGGACUGACCCAAACACACUUAAUAUAAAAUGAAAAGCUGCUGCUGCACUGGUGACACGCCGAGGGUCUGGCGUGAGCGGUGCUGGUGUUGCCUCCGUCUGUGAGUACUGAGGCUCUUCUGCUGCUUCCAGGAGCCUUCGCUAAGAUCCCUUCUCCUCCCAGUACGGAUAACACCAGCAACCGCAACGGGACCUCGCUACCUCCCUGCCCCACCACCUGGUGGCACUUCCCUGACCUGCCUUCUCCAGCUGCCACCCAGCUGCCCUUCGCACACCUCCCCUUAUCUCCUGGACCAAGGCCUCCAUGGUUACUUCAUGGAGCAGAGAGAUUCAGCUGCCUGGAGUGUUGCUGGGUGCUGCAGGGGAGCAUCCAUUCUGCACCCUGUGUUUCAGUCCCAGCAAACCCUCUGUCUGGUGUAAAGGCACCACCUGCUCCUCACACCCUUUGCUUCUUAUCUCCUUCUUGGCAGCUUGUCUGUCCCAUGAUCUUGCAUAGUGCAGAUGGCUGCAUGACACCCUUGGGAGUGAGGGGCAGGAGGGGACCUGCUCCACCCAACUUGCAAGCUUUCCUCCUGGCAGGCAGCAGAUCAGAUGGUGUCUGCCUUUCCCUCCUCCAGUGCAGCAGCACCUCUGUCACUUGUUGUCACUUGGUCUUGGUGAGCACAGCUCGCACUCCUCCUCCUGGGUGAGUCACCCCCGGCUUAGCUCCUGCACUGCUCUGGCUGCUGCGAUCCCAGCCCUGUGGACAGGAGAGGCACACUGGCCAUCACUAGUCGCUCCCCUGGAAGCAGAGUCACGGCGCCAAAACCAGGUGGUUGACAGUAGGGAUCACCUGCGCUGGGAAAAGGAAGAGGAGCUUGUGGACAGGGAAGUCCAGCUUACCCCAGUGCUGGCUGAAAGUUGGAGCAAAGCAAGGAUGUCACAUGUGGAUGUAUGAACAGCUGCUACUUCUCUCACAUGCGAACAGCCAAUCAGAAUUCUACGUGAAUUACAGUGACUUGAAUUAUGCCUUAUUGUGAUGGCGCUGAUCGUGGCAGAAGGUCUGGUGAGAGCUCUGAAAUGGAUCUGUCACUGGGUAGGGCAAGGUGAACACCAACCUGCUUCUCAAGUUGCAGGCAGACAUUGUAGUGUUAGCUGUGUUUCCCACAUCUCUAAUAGGAGAAACCACUGGAGUGUAUUCUUGGACAUUUAGUAUCUAGAUAUGUGGUUAGCAUUGUCUAAAGCACAGCUUGAGAACUUUUUGUAACAUUGUCAUUUAAAUCAAAAGGAAACCAGGAGAUUGAGUCAUAAUCCUCAAAUUGGUAUGUGGCCAUUUGUGUUGGCCCCAUGCUCGAAACAGAAUGGCUGCUGAGUGAAUAACAAAGGUUUGCACUUCCCUGCCCUGUUGGGCAAGACGUGCACUCAGGAGAGUGCCACCAGUGAAAGGAGUGAAGAUCCACAGUCUACCAAAGAACAAAAAAAGGAACAAGACAUAUUAGCAGUAUGAAUACAUAUUUCUGUUAAUAAUUAUUUAUAUUAUAGCUUACAUAUACUUCUUUAUUAGAAUGCCCGUUUAUUCAGUAGAAGACUUUUUUGCACAACUGACACCAAUAAUUAUUGUUUGCAAAAUGUUUAUAUCAUCCAAUUUACUGUUUCAUCUUUUUCCGAUUAGGUAACUUUUCUUGAUGGCAAUUAAACCCUUUAUAUUAGCAAUAUGAUUGUACAUAGAUAAUUUCACAGAGCCAUUAAGGCUUGAGAAGAGCCACAACUGAGUUGCAGAGUUUGGACAACAGGGAGAAGAUUAACUAUCUAACCACAGUAACUUCCUCUGUGCUUUGAGAUUGCCUUAAAAAAUGUGCUGAACUUUAUGGCUAACUAUUUUAAUUAGUUUAACUUUCAGCCUGCAAAUAUGUGAACGUGCUCUUAAGAUUAGGUCUGUGUCUGGGCUUCCAAACAAAUCCCAGUUAGUUUUCUACAUUUGUACACUCGGCAGAAGAUGCUACCUUAAGAACACUGAGACCAUGUCUUGUACUUAAAGAGAGCAGAAGGAGGAAGGCAUCCAAAGGCAUAGUAUCAAAAUAUCCUCCAAAGAAAUCUCCAGCAUGUAGUCAGAAAAUGAUGAUUUUUCAUUAUCAUUAGUUGGCCAGUGUUGUCACUUUCUACUUGAUAAUCUACUCAUUCCUAAAACCUGGACAUCUCAGAUGGGCAAAUUUCUGCUAGGAAAAGGCAGAUCUGUGGCAGCUGAUCCCAGAGGAACACACAUAUGAAUUCCCAGCUGUGCUCCAGCCAUUUGCCCAGCGUGCUUGUGCUGGCAGCAGGCAACUGUGUGCUUUGGGAAGGGUGCAGAAGGUUACAGGAAGUCGUGGGAUAGGUGGCUCUAGGAAGCUCUCCUCCCAGUUCCCAUUCCAGAUACAAACUGUUUGUAUUUCUUCCAGAUAUUUUUGUAAAAAAACCCCAAUGAUAUCUCAUUUCAGAGCUGUUUCAAGCCAUUGUCUGCUUCUUCAUGAAAUAAACAAACAGCGAUAGAAAUGUUACAAGUUCCUGAUGAUCAGUGCCUUUAGUUGUGCUUGUAAAAAUGCAUUUAUUCAUUAAUUUCAGUGAAGCAUAUGCUAUCAUAAUGACUGAUGAA